AUCGCUUCUCGGCCUUUUGGCCAAGAUCAAUGUGUAAUAUCUGUUCUUAUCAGCUUAAUCUCUGGUAAGGCUUCCAUAGGAGAAGAUUAGGCGCCAAGGUAGCCGAGCGGAAAGAGGCGAGACUAGUAAAGCUAAU
rnacentral:snRNA from 1 species